rnacentral:lncRNA from 1 species
GGAUCAUCGCGCGGCAGCGGGUGACCCGCCCGGCGUCUCCCACUCGCUUGCCAACUACCAGGCGAACAGCCAAGCAGGGGGUGGGACCUGCCCAGCGACGGUGGGGCAGUGACUCCCCGGCAUGCAGCUUCACGCCGGCCGGCCUUAACCAGAUGCGUGGAGCAAGAUGAAAACCCCCCAUCGAAGUGGAGGUGACUGUCCACCAAUGCGUCGUCCAGCAGGCGGGGCCCCUGGGCCCUGCGCUGAUUCUCCACCCCAGAGCCGCGCCUCGCUGGGCUGCAACUCCGCCACCUGCUGGCCGUCUCCGGGAUGCUGGGUACCGGAGGUCUUUCCGCAGAGCGCCUGGCCGCGGAUUGGGGGAAUUGACUGCCUGCUUUUCUUCACUAGCCAAUUUGUCAUCUGAAAACUAAGCGCUUAAUUUUGUCUCCUAGAUAUCAGGUGGAACAUUCAUUCACCUAAAUGUUGGCUGGGAUCUAAAUUUAAUCAUCUGCUUGCGUACUUCUCAAGACGGUUGCCCACCCUCCAAUCUCCUAGUGCAGCAGACUGUUGUUUCUUGACAAUAUACCCUUACGGUGUUUGCUACGUGCUAAGCAUAAAAUUGCUGCAAACUUUCUGGCAUUGACUGCUUGUUUGCCUCUUCCUACUAAGCGGAUUUUUGUGUUAAUUUAACUUUUCCUGUUGCCGUUUCUUGUUUCAAAUGAUAAGAGUCAGGCGUGGUGACACAUACCUGCAUUCUCAG